UGCCAGCAGCCGCGGUAACACGAACUGUGCGAACGUUAUUCGGAAUCACUGGGCUUAAAGAGUGCGUAGGCGGCCUCGCAGGUUGGGUGUGAAAUCCCUCGGCUCAACCGAGGAACUGCGCUCAAAACCGCUAGGCUUGAGUGAGAUAAGGGAGAGCGGAACUAAUGGUGGAGCGGUGAAAUGCGUUGAUAUCAUUAGGAACACCAGUGGCGAAGGCGGCUCUCUGGGUCUCUACUGACGCUGAGAUGCGAAAGCGUGGGGAGCAAACAGGAUUAGAUA
rnacentral:rRNA from 1 species